CCGGAAGUGACUGCGCCAUAAGACAUCUAGCCUUUAUAUAUGAUGUCUAUGGGUUUAACCUUCUGGUCAAUCGUCAGCGAAUAAAACGGGCAGAAACACUGGAACUAUUAUCACAUGGACUCAAUACAGUAGAGGUGCUAGCUUGUCUAAGGAACAUGGGAGACUCCAGAGCUCAUUAUGAAGCCCUAAAGAAAGAGCUAGAUGAAGAUUCCGUCUCCCCCAGUUGAAGUGUACCUAUGAUAAAAAUUACAGACCUCUACAUGCUUUGUAAGUAGGAAAACCUGCAAAAUCGGCAGUAUAUCAAAUACUUGUUCUCCCCACUGUAUGUUUAUUUUACAGAUGCAGCAGCCAUUUUUAAAGUGGCAAAAGAAUGUCAACCUAAGGGCAAAAGUAAGCACAAACAUUUUUCCCUUUCCAAAGCCACAGAACCAAAAAUAUCUAAAAAUAAGUAUCCGUCCAAUGGCUUGGAAAGAAAAAACUAAAGUGACAUGGGGAAAAUACAUUAGAGUUGUUGCUGAGGAGGAGCCGUCCACAUUUUUACUGGACCCCGCUGAUGGCUAUAAUGUUGCCGUCGCCAAAGACAGGCUUUGGGCAGACUUUGACCUUCCAGGUGCAGCCUUCACACUCUGCCAUGACGAUGGGACACCAUGGCCAAGGAGGACUUUGAAAAAGAGCAAAUGACCCUAUCAGAAAUAAAGGAUGUCUGGAAGAAAACAUUCUUUGUUGGACAAAGAUCCAUGGCAGGACACAGUAACCUGGCUGAGGAACGGCCCGGGCCACCAGAAAAUUAUUCGAGUUCCCCAUCAGAGGAUUUCUUGGCAGACACACAACAACCAAAUUAUCCGGUUGAGGCAGCCAGACCAUUGUUCCACCUGCUGGUCCUCUCGGGGGAACAAUCUACUAUCGUGCUGCUGAAUGUGAGCUACACUACAAUCCUGCAACGUGGCAUUCCGAUGUGUGGUCUGUUGGUGCUACCUUUGUAGAGCUUUUUACAGGUUCUUGGCCUUGGAAUUUAAGACAAUCUCGUGAAGUUAAAGCACUGCUUUCUUCCCGGACUGAGCCCCAUGCUUUAGCCUUGCUUUCCCCAACAUGGAAAGACACUAUAACCCAAUGCCUUAUGUAUGAACCAGAACAACGACCCACAGCAAGGACCCAGGCCAAGGUUUUCUGAUCUGGGCUUGACCUCCAAACACUAGGUUGUUAAAUAAUUUUUGGGGGAGUAAUGGACUUCUCAGGACUGUGCAGGCCACUGAAGCCAUAGGCUAUUUAAAUAAUGUUCCUGAAACCAUUUUCUUAUUAUGCUGGAAAUGCAGAUAUUGUAUCCCUGGUUUUGGGAAUUUUUUUAUAUUGUUGUUCAUAUCUAAUGUUAAGAAAAAUAUUGUUUGUUUGUUGGGGGAUUUACUUCAAUACUUUCUAAUAUAUUAAUACCUAAUUCCUUUGAUAUCCUGGCUGGGCAGGAUACAUUUUUUUUUUAACAAGAUUGGCUUUGAAAUGUUUUCAAUAAUCAACAUCCACUCUUCUUUUUUUUUGUUACAUAUAUACUGUAUGUAUACUGUGCUGGAGUGUCCACCUUUGUUCUUUUUAUCACCUGCUCAUAAAGUUCACCUGGGCAUGCACCCUUUUACAAUGGUUACUCUAUUUAAGUGACUAUUUGGUUAGUGCAUGUUUAAAGCAAACAUCUUUAUCUAUUAUGGGUUACAGUAGAGCCGAACAAAGAGCUUUUUCUGAAAACCAGGAGCAGCAAAACAUGUCUGCCUGCUGUGUAAACAAUUCAAAAAUGUUAUGAGGAAUGUAGUUGUAAGGAAUACGAGCCACAGGCAUGUAUAGAUCCAUGCACAGAGCAUGAAAUGGUUUUAUUGUAGACGACAAGACAAAAAAAA
ensembl:lncRNA